UAUGCUCCCCUUCUCCCCUGUGCUCUCUCCAGAGACUAAGUGUGAGCACAGGGAGAAGGGGAGAUUUCCCCUUCUUCCCUUCCGAGCGAUAGUAUGCUCCCCUUCUCCCCUGUGCUCUCUCCAGAGACUAAGUGUGAGCACAGGGAGAAGGGGAACAUACUAACGCUCGGAAGGGAAGAAGUGGUAAUCCCCCUUCUCCUGUGCGCCCUCCCGUACCCCGGGUUUACAGAAAAGUUUCCGCACGAUUUCAGAAACCCAGUUUUCGGAAACACAGGCCUCCAGAGCUGAGCCCCGGACAUGCCCGGGGAUUGUUGCCCGCCCCGAGUGAAGCUCAGAACGGCCUUCUGUUGCCCGGUUGUCCCCUCCAAACUGCGGUUCUCUGCCUGACCGAUUGGCAUCCGUGGCUCGCCAUCGGAGGGCCCCCGCCGGCCGGCCUCGUUGCCGGUGUUCGGGCGGACGGUUCCUCCGGCCUGCGGGCCGGCCUCUAUGUCCCCGGGUGGGUCCGUGCGCGGUGGUUAGCAGCCCCACGCACUUCCCCUGGGUUCGAAUGAUCUGUAGCGAGACCGAGACGCCCCGUCUGCCUCAGCCGUCCUACGACGGAGCCCGGCGCUGUGUCGUGGGUUAUGCCGGCAUAACCCUCCCCCGCUAAGUUGCGCCGCGGCCUCCGGAGAGCACAGCGUUUCUCAAAGACAGCCUCUCGAACCAAGAGAGAAGGGGGUCUCAGCCCCCGGCAAACGAUGCUUCGGUCCUCCGCCGGGAGCCGCCUUCCAGGCGGCCCCGGGAGGCCACCGCACCGUUGGAGAGCAC